AUGAACAUAGCCCUCCUGACUCGGUGGCUCUGGCGGAUUACCAACAGAGAGGGUGGCCUAUUGCUUCGCCUCAUUCAGCAGAAAUACCUCCGUGGUCAACCUCUCGCCUUCUACCAGCAGUCUGGUGGCUCCCAAUUCUGGCAAUUGAUCAUUCAGCUCCUUCUAGUCCUCCACAUCGGGACCUUGAUCACAGUCGGAUCUGGCACCGCCACGAUGUUCUGGUAAGAUAGAUGGACUGGAGACAUACCCCUCGCAGCCCUCUUUCCUAACCUGUUGUCCAUCGCGGUUGAUCCGUCGGUUUCUGCCGUGACGGCCCUUAUUGACUUAGGGCAACUCGCGUUCUGGAGACCAUUUGGCCCGGCUGAGAAUGCGGAUUGGCAUGAAUUGCUAGACUGCAUCGUGUUACACGAGCCUGAUGUUGAGAUAGGAGAUGACUACUCCGGAUGGCGGCUAGAGUGUUCUGGGCAAUUCUCCACUAAAUCGCUCUACCAGGCCAUCACCCCAUCGCUAGGCCAAGAGACGCUCACCACCAUCCGGGAGAUCUGGCUUCCCUUGAAGAUUAGGAUCUUCUUGUGGCAAUGGAUUCGCGGACGCCUCCCGUCCGGCGUGGAUGUCCUAAAACGCAACGGCCCCGGUGAUGGGCGUUGCCCGGAUUCGAACCAUAUCUUCUUCACCUGCGUGUCUGCGUAG
rnacentral:rRNA from 1 species